rnacentral:rRNA from 1 species
ACGGAAGGCAGCAGUGGGGAAUAUUGCACAAUGGGGGAAACCCUGAUGCAGCGAUGCCGCGUGGAGGAAGAAGGUUUUCGGAUUGUAAACUCCUGUCUUAAAGGACGAUAAUGACGGUACUUUAGGAGGAAGCUCCGGCUAACUACGUGCCAGCAGCCGCGGUAAUACGUAGGGAGCGAGCGUUGUCCGGAAUUACUGGGUGUAAAGGGAGCGUAGGCGGGAUUGCAAGUCAGAUGUGAAAUACAGGGGCUCGACCUCUGGGCUGCAUUUGAAACUGUAGUUCUUGAGUGAAGUAGAGGUAAGCGGAAUUCCUGGUGUAGCGGUGAAAUGCGUAGAUAUCAGGAGGAACACCGGUGGCGAAGGCGGCUUACUGGGCUUUUACUGACGCUGAGGCUCGAAAGCGUGGGGAGCAAACAGGAUUAGAUACCCUGGUA